rnacentral:lncRNA from 1 species
AGCAAGAAGUCGUCGUGGCAUCUGACAGACUCCCUGGGGACAGGGGACGGUGUUGAUUGACAGACAGCAGAGUUAGCACUGGUGUUUCUUUUCCGGCGAAUCUAUGCAUGCUUAAACUUGUCGCUGCAUCGAUGAUCUAUCAACACGACGUUCCUACUUCUAAUCAACACCUGCUCCUAAGUCCCGAGUUCAAAUUAGGACGUGUCUCUCGGUGUCUGUUCGACGCAAGGAUAUUUUUGGAGGGUCGGUGCCAGGAAUUUCGGUGCCGUUUGCACAGGCAAGCAGCAAGCAGCUCAUGGUUUUGUUUACUCUGAAUCUGUGAAAGAGAAAACUAUUUUUUCGUCCCUCAGCUUGUCAGAAAGUUCAUUUCUUGUCCCUAAAAAACAAUUCGUAUUUUUUUCGUCCCUCCGGUUUGUACUUAAUCCCGUAACCGUCGAGACCGUUGAAAUUGCCCGUCGUUGUGCUCUGGAUCUCGUCCAGGCACUGGUUAUACUUCUCCUCCAU